UAGAAAGCGUUCUCCAAUACGUUUAAACUGUACGUAGUAUGGAUUCUCUGGAAGGUGGUGACGCUAUUGACCUAACUUGGGAGAUAUCUUAUUCAAAGACCUUUCCUCGAAACGGGAACGAAAGGAGACAACAAAGGAUAACAAGAAUCCAGUCGAGGCCUUAAAAAGCUGUUGGUUGGCAGGACUCAAUGUAGAUGGUGGUGAAUCAUAAAGCUGGUUGUUUAUAAGCUUAAAGAGAUCCUUUCUAAUAGCAUAUGUACUUCUCCCAUUUUUGUCUAUUUUUUUAAAAUCUAAUUCAUACUUGUAUUAUGUAAGAAGAGUUAUGGCCUUCAUUUGUUCAUCACAUGCAGUGAAUAUGUUUUCAGUUUUUUUUUUUAUAAAUAUUUUUGCAUUUAUGCUAAAUUACACGUAAAAUCUUUUUAUA